CGGGACGCAGCAGUGGGGAAUAUUGGACAAUGGGGGCAACCCUGAUCCAGCCAUGCCGCGUGAGUGAUGAAGGCCUUCGGGUUGUAAAGCUCUUUUGGCGGGGACGAUGAUGACGGUACCCGCAGAAUAAGCCCCGGCUAACUUCGUGCCAGCAGCCGCGGUAAGACGAAGGGGGCUAGCGUUGUUCGGAAUUACUGGGCGUAAAGCGAGUGUAGGUGGUUGUCCAAGUUGGAUGUGAAAGCCUUGAGCUCAACUCAAGAAAUGCAUUCAGGACUGGGCGACUAGAGGACCGGAGAGGAUAGUGGAAUUCCCAGUGUAGUGGUGAAAUACGUAGAGAUUGGGAAGAACACCAGUGGCGAAGGCGGCUAUCUGGACGGUUUCUGACACUAAGACUCGAAAGCGUGGGGAGCAAACAGGAUUAGAUACCCCAGU
rnacentral:rRNA from 1 species